UUGACCACUAGGAUCAUUUAUCAGUUUUAUCUUUUAAUAAUAAAUUCAGCCACUGGGUUUAUGAUUUUGUAAAUGCAAGGAUCAAUUGCCAAUUAGGGAUUAAUCAGUAUAAAGGUAAUUUGAGGAAAUGCAACUGUUUUGUGUUGUUUACCCAUGCUUUGUUUCUGUGAUUCAAAAUUUUAUCAAUUAUUAAACAUUGAAUGUGGGUUUCAGUCUAUAAGUUGCAAUAGAUUCCAUGCAAAUCUAUUUCCAAGGAAAACCUUUUGUGGGCUUCCACAUCUGGUGAUAUUGGCUACUCAAAAUAUUUGUCAAUUUCAUCUUUGAGCAUAAUUUGAACACAUGGUUUGAGAUUUCAAUGAACUAACAAAGGAAGUUGUUGGUUUGUAAGAAGCAUGUGGAAAAAUGAGCAAAUAGAUAAUUGAUUGGUGGAUAAAUCAUAAAAAGAGUGCAAGUGCAGGCACAGGGUAUUAAAGGAUUCGAAAGAAGAGUUCAAGUGGUUGACUUUGAUUGAAGUAAAUUGAAUCCUUGUUUUUUAUUUUUUUAUUUUUUGGUGGGUUCUCUGCCUGCUUGCAUUUUUGUUUUAAGCUUUUCUCUUUGCAUCUAGGAUCUAAUUCUUGUUACUCCUGCAAUAAUGCUUGCAGUCUUUUUUAUUUGUCUUUUUGUGUUCUAUUCAUAUAAUGUACUUGGGCUGGCAGCCACUCUGCCACCUUUUGUUAGUUC
rnacentral:misc_RNA from 1 species